GCUUUCAACAUCCCCGUUCCAGAGGCGCAACCCUGGCAUAGCCAGCCAACGACCUGCUGGGACUGAAGGC
rnacentral:sRNA from 12 species